rnacentral:rRNA from 1 species
CCUCACUUCAUUCCUGACAAUGCUUGAUCUCGUCUGAUGUCAGAAUCUAAGGGUUGGGCCUGCCUGCUUAGUACUUGGAUGGGAGACCGCCAGGAAUACUAAAUGCUGAAAGGC